rnacentral:lncRNA from 1 species
UGAUGUCACGGGAGUGGCUUUUCUUGAUGGCAUCCAACCAAGUAGUGCCAGAGAGACUGGCGGAUAAGGCCGCAGCUUCAACGCCGACGUCUGAGUCCUUUAUAAAUCCACCGAAUUGGCGUACGGCUACAUAAGUCGGUCCCCAUUUCUGGAUCGAAAUUCCGGUAGCCGGAGGCGGAUCGACUUGGUUCUUCUUCGGGACAUAAAAACUCACCAGAAAUGAAGAUUCGCAGAAGGGUCCGUCACUCGGAGCAAUCUCUGUUAGAACCGGAGCUGUCAUUUCUAUCUGCUCAUUGUAAUUGUUUUUCCCUUGGAUGUAGUU